rnacentral:rRNA from 1 species
UACAGAGGGGGCAAGCGUUGUUCGGAAUUACUGGGCGUAAAGGGCGCGUAGGCGGCCUUCUAAGUCGAACGUGAAAUCCCCGGGCUCAACCCGGGAACUGCGUCCGAGACUGGAAGGCUCGAAUCCGGGAGAGGGAUGUGGAAUUCCAGGUGUAGCGGUGAAAUGCGUAGAUAUCAAGAGGAACACCUGAGGUGAAGACGGGUUGCUGGGCUGACACUGACGCUGAGGCGCGAAAGCCAGGGGAGCAAACAGG